GAAGUAGAAACAAAAAAGUUGAAUGAGAGUAAAAAGAAAGAAAAAGCAGUGGUUGAGAUAAAAGAAAAAAAUAAGAAAAAAGAAAAAAAGAAAGUGGAAGAAGGAGAAGGUUGAGAAAAAGAGGAAGAGACGAAAGAAGAAAAGAUCACAUGAAAAACCUCUUCCUCAUAAAAAGAAAAAUCAUAGGAAACGAAAGAAGUUCAAGUUGGCGAUCUUCAAGAAAUUGGAGAUUAAAGUUCCUGUGGUUUAAACAUGGAAGCAUGUGCUUGGUAUUCUCAACCUUAUGAAGAAAUUCAAUAGGAAGAAGAAAAAGAAAAGAAUAUCAAGAAAGGGGAGUAUCAACACCUACUGAUGGGUGUUUGAUUUUAUUUUAUUUGAUUUGAUUUUAUUUUAUUUUAUUUCAUUUGAUUUUAUUUGAUUUUAUUUUAUUUUAUUUUACUUGAGUUGAUUUGAUUUGAUUUGAUUUGAUUUGAUUUUAUUUUAUUUUAUUUUAUUUUAUUUUAUUUUUGGGUUAUGCGCUGCUUCUGAUGGCAGUAAUGAUUAACAUCUACUGAGGGAUGCUAAAAAUUUUAAAUCCACUGAUGGGUUCCAGGA
rnacentral:lncRNA from 1 species